GUCUGAUAGCUCAGUCAGUAAAGUGUGAGACUCUUAAUCUCAGGGUCGUGGGUUCAAGCCCCAUGUUGGGCA